rnacentral:rRNA from 1 species
UUUCGGGCUCGGGCAGGCUGUCGGCCUCGGUCGGACGGCAGGCUCGGGCCUUUCUGCCUGGGGACUCCGUCACACUUAACUGUGGGGCGGUUGGACGCAGGCCGUUUACUUUGAAAAAAUUAGAGUGUUCAAAGCAGGCCUACGCUUGAAUACAUUAGCAUGGAAUAAUGGAAUAGGACUUUGGUGCUAUUUUGUUGGUUUAUGGGACCGAAGUAAUGAUUAACAGGGACAGUUGGGGCCGUUUAUAUUUCGUUGUCAGAGGUGAAAUUCUUGGAUUUACGAAAGAUAAACUUCUGCGAAAGCAUUCGGCAAGGAUGUUUUCAUUGAUCAAGAACGAAAGUUAGGGGAUCGAAGACGAUCAGAUACCGUCGUAGUCUUAACCAUAAACUAUGCCGACUAGGGAUCAGUGGAUGUCAAUUUGCGACUCCAUUGGCACCUUGUGAGAAAUCAAAGUUUUUGGGUUCCGGGGGGAGUAUGGUCGCAAGGCUGAAACUUAAAGGAAUUGACGGAAGGGCACCACCAGGAGUGGAGCCUGCGGCUUAAUUUGACUCAACACGGGGAAACUUACCAGGUCCAGACAUAGUAAGGAUUGACAGAUUGAAAGCUCUUUCUUGAUUCUAUGGGUGGUGGUGCAUGGCCGUUCUUAGUUGGUGGAGUGAUUUGU